GCCUACGGGGGGCAGCAGUGAGGAAUAUUGGUCAAUGGACAAGAGUCUGAACCAGCCAAGUAGCGUGAAGGAUGACUGCCCUAUGGGUUGUAAACUUCUUUUAUAUGGGAAUAAAACAGGGUAUGCAUACCCUCUUGUAUGUACCAUAUGAAUAAGGAUCGGCUAACUCCGUGCCAGCAGCCGCGGUAAUACGGAGGAUCCGAGCGUUAUCCGGAUUUAUUGGAUUUAAAGGGUGCGCAGGCGGAAGAUCAAGUCAGCGGUAAAAUUGAGAGGCUCAACCUCUUCGAGCCGUUGAAACUGGUUUU
rnacentral:rRNA from 1 species